rnacentral:rRNA from 1 species
UACGACGGGGGCAAGCGUUGUCCGGAAUCAUUGGGCGUAAAGAGCGUGUAGGUGGCUCGGUAAGUCCGCUGUGAAAGUCCAGGGCUCAACCCUGGAAAGCCGGUGGAAACUGUCGAGCUCGAGUCCGGAAGAGGCGAGUGGAAUUCCUGGUGUAGCGGUGAAAUGCGCAGAUAUCAGGAGGAACACCAAUGGCGAAGGCAGCUCGCUGGGACGGUACUGACACUGAGACGCGAAAUCGUGGGGAGCAAACAGG